rnacentral:rRNA from 1 species
CCUACGGGGGGCUGCAGUCGAGAAUCUUCGGCAAUGGGCGCAAGCCUGACCGAGCGACGCCGCGUGCGGGAUGAAGGCCUUCGGGUUGUAAACCGCUGUCUGGGGACCGACCGAUCCUAGGAGGAAGGGCCGGCUAAUCUCGUGCCAGCAGCCGCGGUAAUACGAGAGGCCCAAACGUUAUUCGGAAUUACUGGGCUUAAAGAGUUCGUAGGCGGUAUGGAAAGUAGGGUGUGAAAGCCCUCGGCUCAACCGAGGAAUUGCGCUCUAAACUUCCGUACUUGAGGAAGCUAGAGGUGAGCGGAACUGAUGGUGGAGCGGUGAAAUGCGUUGAUAUCAUCAGGAACACCGGAGGCGAAGGCGGCUCACUGGGCUUUCUGACGCUGAGGAACGAAAGCCAGGGUAGCGAACGGGAUUAGAUACCCUUGUAGUC